CUCUUUUUUUUUUCUUUUUUCUUUUCUACAAACUACCUCCCUCUCUUCCCUCCCCCUCCCCACACCCACUUUCAGUCUAUCGAAGGGAGUUAAAGGGAGUUCCUCUUUAGGAAGACAGCUAAUUAAUUUACAGUACUCUAAAACCAACCCUGAAAACAGAUAAUCUCAUUCACUUACUAGAACUUCAGUGCUGUUGUUGACAGAAAAGAAAAGUUACCUUAAGGCUCAAGGGAAAGCAACGUAUCAAUUGUGAAUGCAGCAGUGUUUACUCUCCCAUCCAUUGGAAACUAGCAAGUGCAUUCCAUUCAGGAAUACAAACUCGAACAUUAGCGAAGACCUCUAUUCUCCUUACAUAGAACAAUACUCAGAAGUGGAUUAUCUAGGGGCCUGAGAAACCAUGAUCCACAUCACACAUUACCCAUGUAUUUCAUGUUCAAAAAGUGCUUUAUCUUUGAGAACUAUGUUGGGGUUAAAAUGGAAAUCUACAAUGCAAAGUCACUUGACACCUUUUCAAGUGAAGUGCGUACAACAUGGAAAGGAGCAAACAGAUGGAGGCCCUGCCCUCUGAGCAGGCCUUAUUAUGCACGUGACUUUUAGGGCACACUAAAUCAAAAUUGUCUUAAGAAUUAGUAACAGUGGACUUUUAUACCACUCUAUUUUAAAACCUGAGAUUGGACAUCAAAACAGUCAACUUUGUUACUCAUCAGAGCAAUUCUGAUACUUCCUAAAAAUAGAAGAAAACUCAAUUCAGGGUCAAAAACAUUAACUCUCCCUAAUCAAAACCAUGACAUUAGGGUGCUGCAGAAUGACCACUCUCAGCAAACAGGUCAUCUUAACACAAGCUAAGUCACUUCUUCCCCUUCUCGCUGGUCAAGGCCACACUAUUUUCAAAUGAAUAUCUACUGAGAGAUCAGUUGUGCAUUGGACAAAGUACCAUAAUUGGGUUAAAAAUGAAAAUAAAAUUUACAGUGAAUACUUAUGUGCAUGACUUACACACUCCAGCCUUUUCUUAUUUCCAUCC
rnacentral:lncRNA from 1 species